GUAAGCCGGGCAGGGCCGGGUCGGCGGCGCUGGGCCGCGGGCGCCGCGGGGCCGGGGGGCGAGGGAAGCGCCGCGAGCGGAGGGGCCCGGUGGCGGGGGCCGAGGCGGGGAGGAGCCGGCGGCUCCCGGGGACGGCUCUGGUGAGGGACGGGGCGGAGCGGCCGCACCUGGGCGCCGGUACGGAGAGCGCUGCUCCGAGCCCUCCGCCAAACUUGGGGAGCGGGAGUUCGGGCAGCGCGCCGAGCUGCGCGAGGGGUCGGUACAAAGAGCGGCCCGAGGGGCUGCUGGCUGCCGCCGGUUGGUCGCCGUGCUGUAAAACUUGUUAGAGGAAAGCAUGGUGGCUGAGCGCUGUUUGACCUCGGUCCGGGGGCCGUGGGCUGGGUGUCCGCGUGUCUGGGAGCGGAGCUGUUUCAUGGAGGCCCAGCGCCUUCAGAGUUCUGUUCUGGGGCGAGGGCUGCGGGCUGUGCUCACCACACGUGAGAAGAAAAGCUGAAGUUGCCGUAUUUAGCGCUCCUAAGGUGAUUACCAGCAUUCCCAAUUAAAGCACCCGAGGCUGUGUCCCGUGUGACGGGCGCUGGGUAGGCUUCCUGUGCUGUUACUGCAGUUUUCACAGCACUCGUUCUUCUCAGCAUUAAAUGUAUCCCGUCAGUUUUUACUCUGUGCCCCCGGCUCGCUGUUUGCAGGGGGACGUGGUGUGGAGCCGUGUGUACACAAAGCUGCCUUUGCUUGUAACGUAACUGUCCUAUCCGUGACUCGGGCUUAAAGCAGGUUUUGUUUUGGUGGGAAAGAGCUGCUCUCACCAUUGCCUACAGAAAUAACGUGCGGGUCGUCGUAACGUGUCACACCUUGGCAGUUUAUGAGGUAAUUCUAUUAGGGAAUUUAACUUUACCAAUUAAGUACUCCGGGACUUUUUCAUUUGAAGUAAGUUCUGCACGACUGCCACAAUUGAAUGUAGUGUGCAGUACUGUUUCUCCAUCUCUGCAGCAGCAGCAGAAUGCACGAUAACUUCCCUGGUGUGUCACCUCCAGUCUUCCUCAGCUCUGCCCCAAAGGAAACACCUUUCAGAAGCAAUCCGGAAUUCCUGUUUGCUUGCCAUAAAAGGCUGAGACAAAGGAUGGAGCUAUCGAGGUGAAGCAGCUAAGGAAGAACUUAACAGGAGGAGAUGUUGCACUCGGUUUGGACCAAGCCUAAAUCGGAGCCCUCACUGAGUGAGACUUGGGGACCAACUUUUUGAUGCAACAGACAGGGACGGUUACAGUCCUGGUUUGUUUCAGAGCUGCCUAUCAGAAACCUGUGUGAGCAAGGGUGGUGGAGGAUUUAGUCAGUCCUAACGUGCUUUCUUACUGGAGGAACUCAGGAAUAGAGCUGUCAGUCCCCUUUCCAAGUGAGUGUUUUUACAAACAGGAAGGUUGGGAUGGGGUGGUUUCUUCCAAGUGACUAAAUAACUCAUAAAUAGUUAAACAGCAUUAAGCUCCUCUGCUGUGUGGGUUGGGUUUCUUGGUUCUAUUGUUUGUUUUUUUGCUCUUUGAACUUGUACACAUCGCUUUUUAAUUAGUGUUAGAGUGAGAUUAAAUUCCACGAGAAGGAACAGCAGACAGGUAGAUCUGUUAAAUACUAAGCGUAUAUUUAUUUUGGUUAAUAGAGAUGUACCGCCUGAAACUUAUUUCAUUGGGGAAUCCAGAAUUUAAACAAAGAAUUUUAAUAAUGCAUAGGCAUACUAACAGCCAGGGAAAGUACUUGGCGACUUUACAAGGAAAGAAAUAUAUGCAUUUUCCCUUUACCUACUUGGAAUUGAUUCCUCAGUUCAGAAUCUGGUUGCAGCAGCCCGCUGGGAAUCGUGAUGAAGUCUUGAUUUUUAGGGAAAUUGUCCACUUCAUGUUUCCACAUGAAGAGCAGAGCUCUAAAUGCAAGAUAGAGGAAAAGCACAACCUAUUAGAAGACAAAAAAAAUGGAAAAUUUGAGGUAUACUUGCUACUGCAGAAGGAAGGACUGAUGCAAUGUGAGGAACAGUGUUCCCAUCAACCCUGGAAAUCAGUGAUUUCGCAAUUGUAAGUUACCUUUAGAAAGGCAUAAAUACACGUUAUUGAACCAAGCACUGCAUGCACUAUGAUUCCUAUGACAACCUUCCCAGUGGUUUCA
ensembl:lncRNA